CUGGUGGAUGCCUUGGCUUCGAGAGGCGAUGAAGGACGUGGCAGGCUGCGAUAAGCUGCGGGGAGGGGCCAGCACCCUUUGAUCCGCGGAUUUCCGAAUGGGGAAACCCACCCGCAAGGGUAUCUUAUGGUGAAUUCAUAGCCAUAAGAGGCGAACCUGGGGAACUGAAACAUCUAAGUACCCAGAGGAAAGGACAUCAAACGAGACUCCGCUAGUAGUGGCGAGCGAACGCGGAAGAGGCCUGUGGUUUAUGGUUAAGAACGGAAACAGUCUGGAAAGGCUGGCCAGAGUGGGUGAUAGCCCCGUACCGGUAGAAAUUCCAUAAAUCCUUGAGUAAGGCGGGACACGUGAAAUCCUGUCUGAAGAUGGGGGGACCACCCUCCAAGCCUAAGUACUCCUCGAAGACCGAUAGUGCACCAGUACCGUGAGGGAAAGGUGAAAAAGGCACCCCGAUGAGGGGAGUGAACAGACCUGAAACCGGAUGCCUACAAGCAGUAGGAGCUCGAAAGAGUGACUGCGUACCUUUUGUAUAAUGGGUCAGCG
rnacentral:rRNA from 1 species